CCGAGUGCGGGUUUGCCCCCUGGGCGCCCAACCUCCCACCCGUGACUACGUGACCCUGUUGCUUCGGCGGGGAGCCCCCCUCCCGGGGUGGCCGCCGCCGGGGACAAACCGAACUUCUUGUCUGAGCCUGUUGCAGUCUGAGCUUCAAUAGCAAAAUCAGUCA
rnacentral:misc_RNA from 1 species